AUACCCAGUCGAGCCUCUUACCCUCAUAGACUCGUUUUCAGUCGUCACCACCCUGAGAUCCACACACUCUGAUCACCCACACACCUUCCUCUUCUCACCUCUUCAUGGCCUCAUUCUGCUGAUUCCCCAAGACCUGGUCCAGGACUUGACUCCUCCGCAGCCCUCCUCGGAGGCUUAGCCUCCAGUGACUUUGCCAUUGGUUUGCAAGUGAUCCUCGUCCCUGUUAGGUUUUGUUUUUUUUAUUUUGUCUGAGACAGAGUCUCGCAACUAGCCCAGACUAGCCUGGAACUGGCAAUCCUCCUGCCUUGGCCCUUCCAAGUACGGAAUUAAAGGAGCCCCACUUCUAUGAUGGGGAAAACUACCUUCCUGUCCACCUUCAGGGCUUCGAGCCCCCGGGCUAUGAGCGGACUGAGCUCAGCUUAAGCCCGGAAGCCCGAGGGCCCCUGGAAGAAAAGGGACUGGGGACCCCUGAGCAUUGUCCAGGCCAGUGCCUGCCGUGGGCAUGUAAGGUGUGUAAGAGGAAGUCUGUGUCGGUGGACCGGAGGAGGGCAGCCACACUGAGGGAGAAGCGCAGGCUCAAGAAAGUGAAUGAGGCCUUCGAGGCCCUGAAGAGGAGCACCCUGCUCAACCCCAACCAGCGGCUGCCUAAAGUGGAGAUCCUGCGCAGCGCCAUCCAGUACAUUGAGCGCCUACAGGCCUUGCUCAGCUCCCUCAACCAGGAGGAGCGCGAUCUCCGCUACAGAGGCGGGGGCGGGCCCCAGCCCAUGGUGCCCAGUGAAUGCAACUCCCACAGCGCCUCCUGCAGUCCGGAGUGGGGCAAUGCACUGGAGUUCGGUCCCAACCCAGGAGAUCAUUUGCUCGCGGCUGACCCUACAGACGCCCACAAUCUGCACUCCCUUACGUCCAUCGUGGACAGCAUCACGGUGGAGGAUAUGUCUGUUGCCUUCCCAGACGAAACCAUGCCCAACUGAGAUUGUCUGUCAGGCUGGGUGUGCAUGUGAGCCCCCAAGUUGGUGUCAAAAGCCAUCACUUCUGUAGCAGGGGGCUUUUAAGUGGGGCUGUCCUGAUGUCCAGAAAACAGCCCUGGGCUGCCACAAGCCAGACUCCCCACUCCCCAUUCACAUAAGGCUAACACCCAGCCCAGCGAGGGAAUUUAGCUGACUCCUUAAAGCAGAGAGCAUCCUCUUCUGAGGAGAGAAAGAUGGAGUCCAGAGAGCCCCCUUGUUAAUGUCCCUCAGUGGGGCAAACUCAGGAGCUUCUUUUUUGUUUAUCAUAAUAUGCCUCGAAUUCCACCCCCCACCCCCAAAAUGAAACCGUUUGAGAGACAUGAGUGCCCUGACCUGGACAAGUGUGCACAUCUGUUCUAGUCUCUUCCUGAAGCCAGUGGCUGGGCUGGGCCUGCCCUGAGUUGAGAGAGAAGGGGGAGGAGCUAUCCGGUUCCAAAGCCUCUGGGGGCCAAGCAUUUGCAGUGGAUCUUGGGAACCUUCCAGUGCUUUGUGUAUUGUUUAUUGUUUUGUGUGUUGUUUGUAAAGCUGCCGUCUGACCAAGGUCUCCUGUGCUGAUGAUACCGGGAACAGGCAGGGAAGGGGGUGGGGGCUCUUGGGGUGACUUCUUUUGUUAACUAAGCAUUGUGUGGUUUUGCCAAUUUUUUUUCUUUUGUAAUUCUUUUGCUAACUUAUUUGGAUUUCCUUUUUUAAAAAAUGAAUAAAGACUGGUUGCUAUCAAAAAAAAAAAAAAAAAAAAAAAAAAAAAAAAAAAAAAA
rnacentral:lncRNA from 1 species